CGCGUGAGGAACCUGCCUUGGAGAGGGGAAUAACACAGUGAAAAGUUGUGCUAAUACCGCAUGACGCAGUUGGGCCGCAUGGCCCUGGCUGCCAAAGAUUUAUCGCUCUGAGAUGGCCUCGCGUCUGAUUAGCUGGUUGGUGGGGUAACGGCCCACCAAGGCGACGAUCAGUAGCCGGACUGAGAGGUUGACCGGCCACAUUGGGACUGAGACACGGCCCAGACUCCUACGGGAGGCAGCAG
rnacentral:rRNA from 1 species